UAUAAGAGCAUUUAGAACACUAUUUUAGUAAUCUAAAUGCUCUUAUAUUAGUUUACAAAGGGAGUAGAAUAUAAUGUUUUAGUAUGGUGUAUUUGUAAGGUACAAGCCAUUAAUAAUUAUUGGUAGUAACAUGUGUGUAUAUUUUAAACUUACCGAUGAUAAUAAUCUUUCAUAAAUAUGGGGGUGUGCAGAUAAUUUGUUCUUUCUUCACUUCAUUGACAACGGGGUAAUAAUCUUUAGUCAUAGUGUUACACAAUUUAUCAACGGGAACAGAGACAGUUAUCAGAUGAUGUACACCAGCUUUAAUGUGAUAGAGGAUCAUGGUGGUCGAUGGAUUCUGCACCCUGUAGUAGACUAAGGAAGGAACAUUAUUUCUGUAACACAAUGAUACUCACAGCACCCCUGCACUAUGUGAGAUUUAGAAGUUAUUCAAAUUAGUGUUUGUUGAUAACUGCAAAUUCCGUUUGUCUGCUUCGUAUUUUUCUAUCCCUGCUAAGGUACUAAUCCGUUCUUUGAUGAGCUGUUGAUACUGUGGGCGGAUGCAUCUAUGUGCUAAUUUGCUGGCACCAAGCAGACAGAGCCAAACGAGCUGCGGGCACCAAUCAUUUGGUAGUGGACAACAACACCAAGUUUGUUAAUUAUUCAGCAAGUCACAGAUUGAUCUCUUUUUCGAUUGGUUUGGAGUGGCUUAUCAGGCCUACCACGUAAUCAUAGGUUUAUCUUUUGAUUUAUGCUGGUGGAUAGAAACAUCAUUUCUAAAGUUUUCUAGGGGUUGCACUGGUGCACAGCUUGUUCAGUGAUAUCAACCCUUCGAGCGCCCUCAACCAUUAGCCAACACUUCUUCAGUUUCUCACCACAUUCCUAAGUAUUUAAUGAGAUCCGUAUCGCUGGCAAUCUUCAUGAACCUAUCAAGGAGAACAUUGCAAUACUAAUUGUUGCACAAGUGUUCUCAUCGCCGGCUAGCAAGAAGAGAGUAUGAUUGUUCAAUGCUCACCCUUGUAAGCUUGAUUUACGAGGAGCUUCUCGGUGUUGUACAUGUAGGGUGUGGAAAAUAUAAAUAGAAUCUAUUUAUUCAUUCUUGUACUGUACCUCCAAUUCAUCUCCCACGGUUCAGUAAAUUUCAAUUGUAUGCUUAAAUAUUAGGAAGCCAUCAUCUUCAAAAACAUACUGCUACCUACUUAAAACAUAUUUUCUUUCUUUCUGUUUCCGAUAAAUUGUUUGAAA